rnacentral:sRNA from 1 species
GGAUAUGAGAGUGAUCUGGCUAUGACAUCUGUCACCCCAUGGGUCACCAGGGUUGAUUCAGCUGAUCUAGCUACCUAGGCAGGUGUCCUCUUCCUCCCUUACCACUCCAUGUGUGUCCCUCUCAAAGCUGCAUGCUUGGUCAAAGAUGACUUUCCCCCAGUAGGGAAGGACCCAUUUUCUGUCAAGGGUAUACAAUAGCUGUUCUGCCCCUGCUAGAACCUCCACACAAGUUCCCAAAUGGACUGCUCCUGUCUCCUUUUUGAGUUACUCUUUUUUUGGGGGGGGGAUUUGGUUUUUCGAGGUAGG